AUUGAACGCUGGCGGCAGGCCUAACACAUGCAAGUCGAGCGGAUGAAGGGAGCUUGCUCCUGGAUUCAGCGGCGGACGGGUGAGUAAUGCCUAGGAAUCUGCCUGGUAGUGGGGGAUAACGUCCUGAAACGGGCGCUAAUACCGCAUACGUCCUGAGGGAGAAAGUGGGGGAUCUUCGGACCUCACGCUAUCAGAUGAGCCUAGGUCGGAUUAGCUAGUUGGUGGGGUAAAGGCCUACCAAGGCGACGAUCCGUAACUGGUCUGAGUGGAUGAUCAGUCACACUGGAACUGAGACACGGUCCAGACUCCUACGGGAGGCAGCAGUGGGGAAUAUUGGACAAUGGGCGAAAGCCUGAUCCAGCCAUGCCGCGUGUGUGAAGAAGGUCUUCGGAUUGUAAAGCACUUUAAGUUGGGAGGAAGGGCAGUAAGUUAAUACCUUGCUGUUUUGACGUUACCAACAGAAUAAGCACCGGCUAACUUCGUG
rnacentral:rRNA from 1 species